UUUAAAUUGAGAGUUUGAUCCUGGCUCAGGAUGAACGCUGGCGGCGUGCUUAACACAUGCAAGUCGAGCGAUGAAGUUUCCUUCGGGAAACGGAUUAGCGGCGGACGGGUGAGUAACACGUGGGUAACCUGCCUCAUAGAGUGGAAUAGCCUUCCGAAAGGAAGAUUAAUACCGCAUAAUGUUGAAAGAUGGCAUCAUCAUUCAACCAAAGGAGCAAUCCGCUAUGAGAUGGACCCGCGGCGCAUUAGCUAGUUGGUGGGGUAACGGCCUACCAAGGCGACGAUGCGUAGCCGACCUGAGAGGGUGA
rnacentral:rRNA from 1 species